rnacentral:tRNA from 1 species
AGAUUAUUAUUAUAAAUAAAUAUUUAUAUUUUAGGAAUAUAAGAUUUUUAUCUA